AACCAUAUGGAAAUGUUUGUGUAAAUGAGAGACUGCAGGUGGGUGGAAAGUGGCAGGUGUUGUUUCAGCACAGGUUAAUGAAUGUAUACGCGUCUCAAUGGCCUAUUCUCUUCUGUUUUACAAUCGCCUGAGCAGAGCUCACCCUCCAGCGCUCAUCCUAUCAGCUCCAUCAACUCUAAUUAACAAAACCGGAGUAAAGUUAGUUUGCAUAGAGAGCCUGCAGUUUGGAAUAAUCACGAAGACUUAAUCGCCUCCUCCUCCUCCUGCUGCCCUCCCCUUUGGAUCUUGUGUCAAUAUUUGACCAGAGCAAACGCACCGUGUGACAGGUGUACCAGAGACAGUCCUCUCACUUUAAAAGCUCAUAUCCUUUUUUCACUCCUAUACCUCUACAGAUAAAUGGCACGGUUGUUAUUUUUAACCCGGCUAUAUAAACACGCACUUUCGAGCAAAAGGUUCAUUUUCCCCUUAUGAUCGCAAGAGGGAGAAAUCGCGAGUUUUCAUAUUUAUCUUCAACUGCCGACGUGUCACCUUUAGGAAAAGCCGACAGGUGAGACGAUUUCAUUAAGAGUCCGGGGGAUUUACUCUACAGUUUGGACCAAAAAAAAAAAAAACAGAAGGAAAAAGAAA